rnacentral:rRNA from 1 species
UACGUAGGGGCCGAGCGUUGUCCGGAUUCAUUGGGCGUAAAGAGCGUGUAGGCGGCCGCUUAAGUCCUGCGUGAAAUCUCGGAGCCCAACUCCGAGCGGUCGUGGGAAACUGGGCGGCUAGAGUGCGGGAGAGGAGAGUGGAAUUCCUGGUGUAGCGGUGGAAUGCGCAGAUAUCAGGAAGAACACCCGUGGCGAAGGCGGCUCUCUGGAACGCAACUGACGCUGAGACGCGAAAGCGUGGGGAGCAAACAGG